GGGGAGGGAGGAGAGGGGCUGAUAGCGAUUAGGCAGGAAAUGGCUCAGCGUGGAUGGCAUCCAUAUGGGGGAGCUGAGAGAUUUGGCGUCUCGCAGGCACCGCUUGAUGGAUCCACUGAUAACCUGGCAACAGAACAGACCUGGGCUCUCUGAUUCCUUGCCAGCGGCUCCACCAAAGCCGGCUGGGUCGGCCUUCGUUAACACCUUUCUGGGCUGGGAACCCGCUGAGAUGCGUAAUGAUGGCCAUAAAGCUGCCUGAGGUUAUGGCCCAUUCAAUGGCCAAAAUACUGUCCCCAAAAGCCCCAUGGGUUGCUGGCUGGGUUAGAUGCAGGGCAAGCUGUAUGCUACGUUGGGCUUGGGUCUGUAAUUUCCCUGUGGUUAUUUCCAAGAUAACUUAUUUCAGAUUUUUAUGAUGCUUACAAAUUGAGCAACAUCUUAAAAACGUAAUUCAGGCUCCAACGGGUUUUUAACGUGUGUGUUUUUACAGGGAGGCAUCAAAUAUUUUCAAGUGUUGGUGAAUUUUGGGGAUGGGAGUUGGGAGCAGGAGACAAGGGAGGGAUGAUCCUGGAGCCAAAAGGCUUUGAGGGCACUCCUCCCAGAUGACUUUUCUCAGCUCCUGCUGAGGCCAUCCUAUCUCCUCAGGACACCGACAUCCCGCACCGGGGUAGGAGAGGAGUGCGGGGCCAGAGCUGCUGGCGUGCCAUAAGGAAGCGAUUGAAGCUUUCACAAUCUGUUUAACCAGUGACAUAUGUUUCCUGUAGGCACGGCGGUGUGCUGCGUGCUGAGGCUCCAUACAGUGUGAAGGCUUCCUGUUACCUGGAAAUGACUGUGGGGUGACAGCGUGGGGGGCAGAGGGGCUGGGAGGUGGGUCUCACCCCUGCUCUUUGCCUUGCACCAGGGCAGCGGGAGCAGUCCCUGUGCCUGACCCUAUAGGAGCCCUGUACCCACAAAGGUGACAGGGGACUUCUGUUUUGCUGACGUAUUCCCAUCUGCUUGUCCAUGCCUGGUGUACUGCAGGGCAGGGGGCAGGUGAGGCUGGGGCUGAAGCCCCUACAUGGCUCCAGAUGAGCGCUGAGCUUUGGGUACAGUGGGGACAGAAGCUUGUGCCCCAGUGCUGAGCUACUGAUGGUGCAUCCCCAGCAAGCCCUGCUUGUUACUCUAUUAAAUUUCCAUUUUGACGUGAAAAGAGCUGGUUUUAUGGUACCUCUGACUGUGUUAUUUACACAGUCAUGCACACAAUCCCUGCUGAAAAUCACAUUACUCACUGCUUCGGCAGCCCUUUGUCUGCAGGUAUCGCCUGGAGGUGACACCGUCUCCCAGUCCGAGCAGUGGCACCCAAGCAGGCUCAGGCAGGGAGCGACCUACAGGGCUGCUCACCUUCUCAGGUCCCAGCCGGGUGAUCAGGGCUGGCAAACCCAUCCUGAAGUGCCCCAGCUCCGGGUGACCCCAUCUCCCCCCACACACCCCACUGCGUGGUGGCUGAUGCACAUCGCAGGGCAGAGACAACCGUUGGCCACGCUCAAUGGUGCUUUGUUCUCAGCCCAGGAAGCAAUGAAAAUCCUCCCGCUUUGAAGCCUGAGGAGGCCUUUUUAUUACAUCCAGGGCUCCUGGAACAGGGAACCGUGAGUGCUUCCCUAUAGCGCGAUGAAAAUCUCUCCUGCCUGAGACCACAUCAACUCGUUACACAUGGGAGCGGUCAGGCUGGUGAACAGUGCCGUGCACACAGCUGGGACAUAGAAGAGCCAUGGUACAAUGCUGUUGACCUCACACCCUCUGUGCCUGCAGAAAACCAUCCCAUUUCUGGGGCUGAGAAGCUCCUAAGCAGCGAGGCGGCCCUAAUAAUUCCACUUAAUCUUCCCCCAUAAAUCACUCCUCCCCUCCCCUGCAGUCUAUUGGCAUCAUCUGAAGCUAUUAGCUAAUUUGAAGCCAGGAGUUCACACAUUGCCUGGUCCCAUCCCGUCUCCCUGCAGCAGUAAGUAUGCACUCCUGGAGGGAGGCUGCCUGAAGUCACCCUCCUCAUCCUCCUCUGGUGGGGAAGAGGUGACAGCACAUCCCCACCAGCCCGGUGGGACAGGGGCAUGGAGCUUUCUGCUCCUCCCUGGUGCCUCAUCCUGGGAUUUACAGCUCCAGUUGUGAUCAGCUGAAACCUGAUGACAACGCCUGACGUGUCUGCAGUGCCCGUGUCCCUGCUGCUCACCCCCACUUCGCUAAUGAGCUUUGCUCAGAGGUGUGCUUUGCUCAAAGCCCCCAACCCCACUGAGCUGCUGGGGAAUGCAGCCAUGCCAAUGGGUCCUCUCCAGCCCUGAGGACGGGUCCUGAUAGGGAGAGCGGGACACAGCCAUGUCACACCCCGAGGCAGUUAUGAAUGUCAUUCCCCAAUCCACUCAGGAGCCGGCAAUUUUCUGGCCGAGGUGGGAAGCUGCCGACAUCGUAUGAUACACGGCGAGAUUGAUUGUAUUUACUUACCCUUUAACCUAAUAAAGAAAAAUAAUGUUCCUUCAUCUCACUAAUUC
ensembl:lncRNA